AUUGGAGGGCAAGUCUGGUGCCAGCAGCCGCGGUAAUUCCAGCUCCAAUAGCGUAUAUUAAAGUUGUUGCAGUUAAAAAGCUCGUAGUUGGAUUUCUGUUGAUAUUUUAUAUUAUUAAUUAUUAUUAUUAAUAUAAUAUUAACAUAAUUCAUAUUACUUUUUUUAAGUAUAUGAAAUUUUACUUUGAGAAAAUUAGAGUGCUUAAAGCAGGCUUUUGCCUUGAAUACUCCAGCAUGGAAUAAUAUUAAAGAUUUUUAUCUUUCUUAUUGGUUCUAAGAUAGAAAUAAUGAUUAAUAGGGACAGUUGGGGGCAUUUGUAUUUAACAGUCAGAGGUGAAAUUCUUAGAUUUGUUAAAGACAAACUAAUGCGAAAGCAUUUGCCAAGGAUGUUUUCAUUAAUCAAGAACGAAAGUUAGGGGAUCGAAGACGAUCAGAUACCGUCGUAGUCUUAACCAUAAACUAUGCCAACUAGAGAUUGGAGGUUGUUCCUUACUCCUUC
rnacentral:rRNA from 1 species